GGGGGGAGGCCGGAUCCUGGGUUGUGUCCCCAGCACCCUGUGUUCCCGGGCCUGUGCUGUUGGAUCACGCUCCCGCCCCCUCCGCGGAGCCGCCG
rnacentral:pre_miRNA from 1 species